GUGCCAGCAGCCGCGGUAAUACGGAGGGUGCGAGCGUUGUCCGGAAUCAUUGGGUGUAAAGGGUGCGUAGGCUGGCUUUUAAGUCUGGGGUGAAAUCUUGCCGCUUAACGGUAAAAUGGCCCCCGAUACUGGAAGUCUUGAAUCUGACAGAGGUCGGUGGAAUUCGUAGUGUAGCGGUGAAAUGCAUAGAUAUUACGAAGAACACCAGUGGCGAAGGCGGCCGGCUGGGUCAGUAUUGACGCUGAGGCACGAGAGCGUGGGGAGCGAACAGGAUUAGAUACCCUGGUAGUCCACGCUGUAAACGAUGUAUGCUAGUUGUUGGGCCCUGGGGUUCAGUGACGCAGUUAACGCGUUAAGUGCACCGCCUGGGGAAUACGGCCGCAAGGCUAAAACUCAAAGGAAUUGACGGGGGCCCGCACAAGCGGUGGAGCAUGUGGCUUAAUUCGAUGCAACGCGAAGAACCUUACCUGGGCUUGACAUGCCCGUCGUAUCUUAUCGAAAGAAUAGGAUCAGUUUUGCUGGACGGUGACAGGUGCUGCAUGGCUGUCGUCAGCUCGUGCCGUG
rnacentral:rRNA from 1 species